GCUACUAAAAUAACUCAGUUUUUGGAAGAGUUUGCUAUAAACCUUUGUUUGACAUUCCGCUAGUGUAUUGUAUCGAUAUAAAAUAGAAACAAUUUAGUGUAUCUAUAUUUAAACAUAGUUUAUAAAAAAAAGUAUCAUAAUAUUAUGAAGAAGGAUUUUUGCCUAAUUAACGAAUAUAAAUACAGGUACGCUAAAGCUCUACUUUGUGGAAAGCGAAGAACUUAUUUGCAACACUGUAUGGCUCGUUUCCUGGGUCAAACUCACCAAUACUGAGUUUAUAUGUGCGGCCACAAGAACGUUCCUCGAACGGAGAUCGAAGCCGUGACCUCUUGGUCGGGAGAGGCGGACACUCUACCUCUGAUUCAUCCCGACCGAUAUUUUCUGAAGCUAAAGCUUGAGGAAAGACCGUAAACAAGAAAGAGAAGUGGCCAUGGCCUCCAUACAAGGGCGAUGCUCAUCAACCGGCAAGCCUGUUGUUGAAGAAUCUAACUAUCCGGUGCAGGAGAAAUGCGACAAUAAUUGUGAAAACGAUGGGAACAUCAUAGGUAAACAUUUUCCAUGUUUACACCUGUUCUGCAGACGGUGUCGUGCUGAUCCACUGCUGACAAGUCGUUGUAAAGUUUGUAACGACGAAGUGAAAGAUUAUCAUGCACUAGAUCUUACACCACCAAUGCUCUUGAACGGCAUAGAAAGUGUCAAAAAAUGUCCGUUUUGUAGAGAAAACGAUUUUAGAGUCUGUAACUGGCCUUGUGGUCACUGUUUAUGUGGCAGAUGUGCCAAUAAUAAUUUUGUGUGUAAAAUUUGUGAAAAAACUGUUAGAUUUCAAUAUAUGGUUGAUGCAAACAGUUUUCAUGGAAAUGGCGAACAAUUUGGAGAUAAGUUUAAUCUUGAACGUAAUUCGGAUAUGUUUGACCGCCAAACAGGGCGUAUGAAAUGCUCACAAUGUCAAAAGUUUGCAGUUCGAAUAGUGUAUAGAAAUUGUGGUCACUGCGUAUGUACAGGCUGCUCAGUUGAUAAAAAUGGUCGUUUUUGUGGAAUUUGCAAAAGCCCCGUAGUGCAGUUGUGGCCCAAAGAAAUAUGUUUGAAUCCAAUGUCUUAUAAUUAGAAGCAACAACCCAAGGCUGGUACAUUUAUUCAUAAAACAUCUCGUCAUUUUUUAAUAUAAAACGAUUUCCUAAAACUUUCAUAGUCAGUAAUAGCCAUUGUAAAAAAACAACAACAAACAAACAUGUAUAACAUAAGAAUAUCUAUAGAACAUAUCAUUAAUAAAAAACACAAUAUUUUAUUUAUUACUAAGUUUUUGUAUCACAUAACCAAUGUGAAACUUAACUUGGGAAUAUAGUAUGGAAAUGACUACGUAUGUUUUAUAAAUAUCGGCCCAGUUAAACAAGUGUAGCAGUAUUAAAUAUCUUGUGAUAUUCAUUUGCAGAAAUAGUAACUGCAGAUGUAGACUCUGCCUCUUAUCUCAAAGAUAAAUUUACCUGUACUUGUACUAUCAGAUGUUGAAUUCAACGUCAGCGUACAGUGUCCCUUAGUUUGAUAACAAUAAGCAGAGUUAGUUGACACAAAACAAGUAAGUCAGUUACAAAUGAUAAUAGCACAGACCAUUAUUAAAUAUGUACUUUCAACGUAAUUUAAUUUUAAGGAAAUAUAUGGAAAUAUACCCUAUGAUUGAGAACAUUUUGAACUACAAUCAUUCUCUUUGAGUGGCUGUUAACCCUUGGCCAUUUGAUGACAGCUAUGGGUAUAGGUCAAUGGAUCAAAUUAUUACUUCACGGUCGUCCGAGGUAUAUAUUUGUCCAUGAUAUCACCUUAAAAAGAACUGAUGUAGGUAUAUGCCAAUUGUUCUUCCAUGUUUCUUAUUUAUGAUUUUUGUUUAUGUGUUAUAUGUCUUUGGCGUUUACCCAGUGCCAUUAAAUCGGGUUUAUCUUUUGCUACUGAUCUUGUUUAUGUAGUUUUGCACUAAACUAUGAAUCUUCAGUCACCUAGUGGUAGACCUUGACCGGUUGAUUGCACCCAUUGCUGUUGGGUCAGUUUUUUAAAAGUCAGCAAGUGUUAUCUGCAACGUUUUGUCUGCACAUUAAAUUGCGCUUUGAUUUAGUUAGAACCAUGCAACAGUUUUUGUUGUCCUUGAGCUGUUCAUGACCCCUAUGAUUAUGGUGAUUGUAUGUCAAAGGUCAAUGUCAUAUUUAAGACUGUUAAGAUUUCUUUUGCCGCAUAAUUACACACUCGAAAACAGUUAGACCUAGGACUAUGUAACAUCGGUGAUAGCUUGUUUUGACUUAUAAAUAACUCUAUUGUAUUCGGCAUCAGUAAAAAAGGUCAAUGUUACAUAUAAUGUCUUUUACGUCUACUUUAACCAAUUAAUGCAGCCUUGCAACUGUGUAUUACAAAACGUUACGUUCAACAAAAACAAAUUGUUUUAAUAUUGUUUGAUAUUGAAAAUAUAUAUGUCAAACCAAUGAAAUCGGUUAUUAAGAUUCAAUACGUACAACGCUUAAUCUUUAACAGCAUAAUAGACAUGAGGUGAAAAUUUCGUUCGCUGGAUCAAAAUCACUGCAUGUCAUGAGAACCGUUCAUAAAUGAAAUGUGCAACAAAAUAAAAAUCAUAGGAAAAUUAAGAUAAAACUGUACACAUAAACACUUCUUAGUGUCACAUAGGCCACUGUAAAUUAUGAAGUUGGCCUUAUCAGAUAACAACAACAAUGUUUUAUGUCACACACUUAAUUGAAUGUACUGCUGUAAGCAAGAAUGUUUAUGAGUCAUUUAAUUAACCCAUUCAUUCCCAGUGAUAAGAGUAUUGGGUCGCACAAUUUUGCCAGCUUUAGUUACAUAACUUUGUUGAUCAUUUAACUGUUUUUGGAGGACGCUGUUUCUGCAGCUUUGUCAUAACUAGGCUGCUGGGAAACAUUAAAUUGAUGUGAUGUCUGGGCUUAGAUAUGAUUUCUGGAGUCUGCAAUGACAUUUGGGCUAAAUUCCUUUAUAUGUGGGAAUUUCUCAUUUGUAUGAUUUAGUAAUUGCCUAUUUCGACGGUAAAUGCCACCAACCCUAGUUUCAACAAUGUAUGACUUGUCAUUGUGUUUUGAAAUAACUUGCGCAGGAUUCCAGAGUUUUGUUGUUUAAAGUCUUCCAUUCUCCUUAAAGGUUUUAAGUGUUUAGAUGACCUAUCACAAAAUGUUGUGUUUUUUUAUUUGACUUUGAGCUGCUUAUUUUGUUUGGGACAAAUUUGGUACUGUCGGUCUGUGGCUGCAACUGUUUGCUUGUAACUGAUAGUAUGGAUUUGUUUCUCUUGACCAUUAACAAUUGUACUGGUGAAUAUCUUAAGUCUUGAAAAGGUGUGUUUCAAUAUUCAAGAAUUGCUAUGUAAGGGUCAGUCCUAAGGUCUUGGCCUUUUGAAAUAGUGUUUUGACUGUCUUGACCAUAACCUCUGCUAGACCAUUGGAUUGGGGUCUAAACGGCGAAGAAGUCACGUGUUCGAGAGUGCAGUCCCUUGCAAAAUCUUUAAAUACGUCUGAUGCGUAUUACAUGGCAUUGUCUGAGUAGAAAAUGUUAGGAACUCCAAAUCUAGCAAAAUGUUCUUUCAACUUUGCUAUUAUCGUCAAACCGCGUGUUUCCGGUAAUUUGUUUUCUUCAAAAUGUCUACUGUAGGCGUCUACAGUCAACAUUCAACAAGUACUCGUGUCCGUCAAAAUAAUAUAAGUCGCUGUAAGCAUAUUGCCAUGGCCAUGUUGGCGUUUUAUGGGGCACUGAAGGUUCUUUGACAUUUAUGCUCUGUGUUUCAGACAAACAGGACAGUUCAGUAAAUAGCCAGUCAUUUCUUUUACCAUUCCAGGCCAGAGGAAUGCAUCUCUUGCACUACUGACUGUUUUAUCUACACCCAUGUGGCCUACAUGGACUUUUUCCAUAAGUUCCGUGCGUGAAUGCUUUGGAAUUAAUAUUUUCUGCUCUCUAAAUAUCAAACCAUCCCCAGUUAAAAGUUCAUCCCAAUGAUUGAACAAUUCAAUUAAGGAGCUGGUACAACCCUGCCUGGCUUCGGGCCAACCCGUUUCUAUAGUCUGUUUUAUGGUUUUCAUGUGAAAUACAGUUUAUCUUCAGUAUAUUCACAUUUAACUGACCGUUCCAAGGCGUCACCUAACAAUCCCUGAUAAACACACCUAGUUAAUUUAUAUAGUAUAUAUGUACUGUGUUGUUUGUGGAGUUCUGUGCCGUUGUAAAUGUUGUGAAUAUGCAAAUCUAACCCUUCCAUUGCGGCUAGCUGAUUGUUCAUUGGCUGAAAGGCUGAAAGGAACUCAUCUAAAGGUACUUGCUUUCCAUGGACAUAUUUGACCUCAACGUCAUAUUUUUGAACCAUGAGCAACAUUUUCUGUAAACCUGUAAUCGAGGGGGUGCUGCAGACAUUUUUUCAUGAUUGUUGCAAUGGAUCAUAAACUAUGAUCUUUUGUCCAUAAACAUACCGAUGGAACUCUAGGCAACCAAAUACUACUUCGAGUAUCUCUCGCUCAAUAUUUGCAUAUGCACUUUGAGUCUAAGUCAAAAGCAAUAGGAAUGCCAUCUUACAAAAUGGCUGUAUCAACACCAUAUUUGCUGGCUUCACAUUCCAAGAUAACUUGUUUCUUAUUGUCAAAGUAUGCAAGUACAGGGUUUUUUGUCAUCUAGACUUUCAUUUUGUUGAAAGUGUCAAUUCGUGGCUAGUCAAAUAAGAACUCUGUGUGUUUUUAGCAACAUGUGCAAAAGACUUUUAUCCUCGGCUAAAUUUGGUGAGAACAUCUGUUAGUAGUUCACCAUCCUAAGAACAGUUUCUAGCUCUGCGCUAUUUUGAGGUAUUUGCAGUGACGAAAUUGCUUUGACCAAUUCACUUUCAAUUCAAUUUAUAACCUUCUUGAUUUUUUUCACGAUUGAACCGUACGCCUAUUUGACGUGCUCUAUCAAGAACAGCAAAUAAGUUUCUGUUGUGUUCAAGCUUUGCUCUCCCAAGACAAGAAUAUCGUCAACGACACAUGCCUUCGAAAGUGUUAUCCAUUGUCCGUUGCCUCACAUCUAAGCUCAGGCCAAACGGCAUUCUUUCGUACUUAUACCGUCCACACGGAGUACUGAAUGUCGUAAGAUAUGACGACUGCUCAUCUAAAUUUAUAGACCUGUAUGCAUGUGUAACAUCGAGAACACUAAAAUGGUGUGCACCGUUAAACCUACUGGUGACGUCAUCAAGUGAACGCAUAGGGCAAUGGGGCCGUUUGUUAACUUGUCAGGUUUUAGCUUCUCAACUAAGGAAUUCACCCAAUCAGUCGGUGUGUUUUUAACCUUAGUCACAAUGCCCUCCCUUUUCGUACGGUCCAGUUUGUCCUGCAGUCUAGUCUUUAUAGCUUCUUGGACACGUCUAGGAGAUUAACCCUAGGUUCUGCAUCAGGUUUCAGAUACAGUUUGCAUUAACCUGGCUUGGUGCCUAUACCUUUGGAAAGGUCACCAUAGUCAUUUAAGACUGUUCGCUUGUCAAGGUCAUCCUCCUCAAUGUCAGUAUGACAAGUUUUGUGCAUGAAUUUACACCUAACAAUUGGGACGCCGGGCUGUCUACAACAUGCAACUCGGGGUGAAUUACGUUUGACUUGUAGCGGCAUGCUUAUUUGAGUUAACCCACUACUGAUGAUUUAUUGCCAGUGUAGCUUGUGAGAGUUUACCCAGGUGCUUGCAAUUUAUGUGAAAUACAAUGUUUCCUGAACAUGUAAGUGAAAGAACCUUUACUGUAGAACCUGUAUCGAUUUUAAAUUGGAUGUUCAAAUUUGAACGACCAAUUUCAAUAUUAACAAAGGCAUGAUCUUGCAAAGUGGUACUUUGUUGCUGUUCCUUGUCUUGUUCGAUUCAUUAUAUGUUCUCUUUGUUACAAGAUUAAUGUUCUUGCUUUGGGGCUCCAUCGUCCGCAUCUGCUGUUUGUUGUAUUCAGACUGAUGCAAUUUGAAUAGUCUUGUCAAGGGUAAGUUGUUUUCCUUCAUUGAUCAAUUUCUGCCGAUUUCUCCAACUUAUAUAAGUAGAUAACUGAUUCUUCAGGUUUCCCUUAUAAGGGUCUAGUAAAUUUAAAUGUACAUGUUUUGCGAAUUGCUCCCAUUCGUCAUCUGGGUUUCUUUCAUCCCAUCGCAUGAUCGGAGGUGCGAUUCCCGCCAAUUCCAUACUCAUACAGAUGAAUAAUUCCAGACAAGGUCACAUUUGUCAUAAAGUUUUCUUUUAACACCAUGAAAUGAUGACUGUGAGGUCGUAGUCAAGUGACUAUUAGAUAAAAACGUGUGAGGUUAUUUCAUAUAGAAAUACUAGCUAUGUUAUACAACUUUUUCAAAAUUGAACUGCAUGCUCAGACCAUGCGGGCCGAUAUAUACACCCUGUAUCACGUCUUAUUUGGUGUGCAAACACGAAUCCGUCGAUACCGCGCGUCCAAAAAGGCGUCAUUUCGUAGUAUUCCAUUUUUUUAUAUACUUUUUUAUUUAUUCCUUUAUAUGUUCCCAUUUCAGUAUGAUUAUUAUUUAUCGCUAUCUGUCAAACUUAUUUAUAAAGAAUAACUGGAAAGUAUAACUAUGCUACGUACUUUUCUGUAUUAAAGUCAAGGGGGGCUACUCCAGCAAACAGGUUAGCAGUUACAGACUUCACUUUAUUGAGCAAAAUAACAAAAACAUUGUUUUAUAUCUCAGCAAAUAAUUGAAUUGCUAAUAAAAACCAAUAAUUAAAUGUCAAAGCACAGAAAUAAAAUCCCGUAACAAUCAUACAUCCGAGGUUGUAUUUGAUGGAAAAUGCCGAAUCCAUAAACGGUACUAUUUAUUACACGUAUAAACAAACCGUCUUUUCUAGUUUAUACGUUACGCGACAAUUUUAAAAACAUGGUCGAAAGUGAAUGUUCUAAGGAAUUUUCAAUAUCUUUGCAAAAAUGAGGGAAGUCCGUUAGUCAAUCGCUAUCACUAUCGAUGAUGCGAAUUUGCCUUUUUUGUUUUGUUGACCUGUUCAUGUUGAUAGAAAUGUUAAAUUUCAUCAUCUUCGAAUUGGUAAGCAAUUAACUAGAUUAUAGAUUGAUCAAAAGUGUUUUCAGCUAAGAAAAUGUUCCUCUCGCUCAUUCUCAUGUCUCUUUCAAGUUCAUAUUCCUGGAUAUUUACCUGCAGUCUGUGGUGGGAGUAAAAAAAGGUCAUGUUAUGUAUUUAAAAUAAGACAGUUUUUUCCCAGUUAUUUUCGAAACGCUAUAUAUAUAUAUAUAUAUAUAUAUAUAUAUAUAUAUAUUAAGUAACGCGAAAGUAGUUCCUUGACCUCACCCGAAAAAGCAUGAUAAGAAAAAGACUGUAAGUGAUACGGAUUUUUCGAUGCGGAUAGCUGUAAUUUUGCUGAUGAAUAUGGAAAAGAAAAGUAAUUGUACAUAAUACACGUUAAUAUAACUUUCUUUAAACUUGUUAUAAACUAAAUAAAAUAAUAAAAGAUGGUCACACAGUUAAUCAGAACAUAAUAUGUAAAAUUUAAAUGAAAUUGGAAGGUUCGCUUCGCUCUCCCGCUCUUCUAAUCUUCUUUAUUCCUGUAUUAUAUAUCAUUUUUUUUUUAACUUUACCUGAAGUUUGAAUCAUCUGUCGCAAUCUGCAACUAGGAAAAAUAUGUUGUUUAAUUUAAUGUAUAUUUUUUUUCACUCAUGCGUGUUCAGUUAAGGAAUAAAUUGCGUUAUUGAUGUCAUUAUCGGGGUAUAAACGCUGAUGGGCUGGUAAAAGUGUGAAGUCUUAAAGUUCAUUAUUUCUUUCCAGAAUAGUUAACAAAAUAUGUAAUUUCAUUUAAGAAAACCUUACAGUAAUUAUUAUCCACCAUGCUGUAAAUCAAACGACCCGACCGGUUUAUACAUUUUACCGCUUCGAUAAAAAAUACCCAAAAUACAGAUAUUUUUAAUGUAAAACUGAAUCGCCAAAAAACAAUACAUUUUACAAAUAAUAAACUAACACUUUUCAACAUGUUGAUUCCAAAAUUUCGUGGACUGCUAAACAAAUGCAAACAAUAGUAUGUUAGUCAUAUUAUACGCGAUGUUUCGCGUUCCGAAACUAUCUCACGGUGUUGCGUUCAUCGGAAAAUACUCGCAAUUGCGAAAAAGCUGUUCAUUGAACGAAUGAAUGUUAAGGUGUAAACAUUUACUUUACUUUAUGUACUUGUUUGAUACCGUAUUUGGGCUAACUUCUUUGUAAUUUCAAGGAUUGAAGAUUAUUUAUAUUAUAUAAUUAUAUAUUCUGCAUAUGUAAUAUAUUAUUUUAUGAGAUUGAACUAUAAUAUCAUUCUGAAUUUUAUUUCAUUUUUAUAAUUUACCUGAUUGUAGAUAUACUGUUCCAACUCAGACUGAAAAACAUGUGCACUUUGGGAGUCUGUUUGUUCCGUUUAUGUAAAUGUAUGCAUGUUAGAAUUAUAACCAUUCUGUCUAUUUAAUCAUGUGCACGUAGGAAAUCUGUUCUGUUUAUGUAAACAUGAAUGUUAGGAGUAUAAUCAUCCUGUUUAUUUUAACAUGUAUACGUUGGGAGUCUAAUUGUUCUGUUUAUUUAAACAUAUGCAUCUUGGGAAUAUAACCGUUCUGUUUAUUUUAACAUGAGCACGUAGGGAGUCUUAUUGUUUUGUUUAUGUAAACAAAUGGAUCUUGGGAGUAUAACCUUUCUGUUUAUUUUAACAUGAGCACGUUGGGAGUCUCAUUGUUCUGUUAAUGUAAACAUAUGCAUGGUAGGAGUAUAACCAUCCUGUGUAUUUUACCAUGUACACGUUGGAAGUCUAAUUGUUCUGUUUAUGUAAACGUAUGCAUCUUGGGAGUAUAACCAUUCUGUUUUUUUAAUCAUGUACACGUAGGGAAUCUAUUUGUUCUGUUUAUGUAAACUUAUGCAUGUUAGGAGUAUAACCAUUCUAUUUAAUUAAACAUGUGCACGUAGGGAAUCUUUUUGUCCUGCCAAUGUAAACAUACGUGUUGGGAGUACAGCCAUUUUGUUUAUUAAACAUGUGCACGUUUGGAGUCUAUUUGUUCUGUUUAUGUAAACAUAUGCAUGGUAAGAGUAUAACCAUCCUGUGUUUUUUAACAUGUACACGUUGGGAGUCUAAUUGUUCUGUUUAUGUAAACAUAUGCAUCUUGGAAGUAUAACCUUUCUGUUUAUUUUAACAUGAGCACGUAGGGAGUGUAUUUGUUCUGUUUAUGUAAACAUAUGCAUGUUAGGGCUAUAACCAUUCUGUUUAUUUAAUCAUGUACACGUAGGGAAUAUAUAUGUUCUGUUUUUGUAAACAUAUGCAUGUUAGGAGUAUAACCAUCCUGUUUAUCUUUAACAUGUACACGUUGGGAGUCUAAUUGUUCUGUUUAUGUAAACAUAUGUAUCUUGGGAGUAUAACCAUUCUGUUUAUUUUAACAUGAGCAUGUAGGGAGUGUAUUUUUUCUGUUUAUGUUAACAUAUGCAUGUUAGGAGUAUAACCAUUCUGUUCAUUUAAUCAUGUGCACGUUGGGAGUAUAACCAUUCUGUUUAUUAAAGCAUAUGCAUAUUUAAAGAUAUGUAUGUCGUGAGUCUAUUAGUUCUGCUUAUUCAAAAAUAAGCAUGUUGGGAUUGCGUUCUGUUUCAUUUAAACAUAUGCUUGAAACUAAUAAAAUUUAAUUU